rnacentral:rRNA from 1 species
CGUGAAAUUGUUGAAAGGGAAGCGCUCAUGACCAGACUUGGGCUUGGUUGAUCAUCCAGGGUUCUCCCUGGUGCACUCUUCCAGCCCAGGCCAGCAGCAGUUCGCUGUGGGGGAUAAAGGCUUUGGGAAUGUGGCUCCUCCGGGAGUGUUAUAGCCCAUUGUGUAAUACCCUGUGGUGGACUGAGGUUCGCGCAUCUGCAAGGAUGCUGGCGUAAUGGUCAUCAGCGACCCG